AUUGAACGCUGGCGGCAGGCCUAACACAUGCAAGUCGAACGGUAGCACAGAGAGCUUGCUCUCGGAUGACGAGUGGCGGACGGGUGAGUAACGUCUGGGAAACUGCCCGAUGGAGGGGGAUAACUACUGGAAACGGUAGCUAAUACCGCAUAACGUCGCAAGACCAAAGUGGGGGACCUUCGGGCCUCACACCAUCGGAUGUGCCCAGAUGGGAUUAGCUAGUAGGUGGGGUAAUGGCUCACCUAGGCGACGAUCCCUAGCUGGUCUGAGAGGAUGACCAGCCACACUGGAACUGAGACACGGUCCAGACUCCUACGGGAGGCAGCAGUGGGGAAUAUUGCACAAUGGGCGCAAGCCUGAUGCGGCCAUGCCGCGUGUAUGAAGAAGGCCUUCGGGUUGUAAAGUACUUUCAGCGGGGAGGAAGGCGGUGAAGUUAAUAACUUCACCGAUUGACGUUACCCGCAGAAGAAGCACCGGCUAACUCCGUGCCAGCCGCCGCCGUAA
rnacentral:rRNA from 1 species